rnacentral:lncRNA from 1 species
CGCAGCGGCGGCAGCAGCUGGGCUCGGUGUAAACAAGUCCAGGCGCCUGCGAACCCGGGCCCGGGGGGGACGGCGCCCGCCAGGAGCGCCCCCCACUCCCAGGCCAGCCCACCCCGGCGGACCGGGCCCCGCGCGCCCAGGCGAGGCACUGGGCUCCCUCUGCUCCCCGUGGGCCGCUCCCCGCGUGGGGCCACUGCCCCCGGCCCCCGCCAUGGUGCGGAUUUCAAAGCCCAAGACGUUUCAGGCCUACUUGGAUGAUUGUCACCGGAGGUAUAGCUGUGCCCACUGCCGCGCUCACCUGGCCAACCACGACGACCUCAUCUCCAAGUCCUUCCAGGGCAGUCAGGGGCGUGCCUACCUCUUCAACUCAGUGUGAGUAUCUGGCCUCCCUUCUUGCUUUCCCUGACCUCUGUUGUGACCUGUGACCCCUGGCAUCCUGCUGAGACUCCCAGAGUUCCCCGGUGCAGGCAGGAAAUUGGUGAACGUGGGCUGCGGGCCAGCCGAGGAGCGGGUGCUGCUGAC